UGGGAGCUUGCUCCCUGACAUUAGCGGCGGACGGGUGAGUAACACGUGGGCAACCUGCCUGUAAGACUGGGAUAACUUCGGGAAACCGGAGCUAAUACCGGAUAGUUUCUUUUCUCGCAUGAGAGAAGAUGGAAAGACGGUUUCGGCUGUCACUUACAGAUGGGCCCGCGGCGCAUUAGCUAGUUGGUGAGGUAAUGGCUCACCAAGGCCACGAUGCGUAGCCGACCUGAGAGGGUGAUCGGCCACACUGGGACUGAGACACGGCCCAGACUCCUACGGGAGGCAGCAGUAGGGAAUCUUCCGCAAUGGACGAAAGUCUGACGGAGCAACGCCGCGUGAACGAAGAAGGCCUUCGGGUCGUAAAGUUCUGUUGUUAGGGAAGAACAAGUACCAGAGUAACUGCUGGUACCUUGACGGUACCUAACCAGAAAGCCACGGCUAACUACGUGCCAGCAGCCGCGGUAAUACGUAGGUGGCAAGCGUUGUCCGGAAUUAUUGGGCGUAAAGCGCGCGCAGGUGGUUCUUUAAGUCUGAUGUGAAAGCCCACGGCUCAACCGUGGAGGGUCAUUGGAAACUGGGGAACUUGAGUGCAGAAGAGGAAAGUGGAAUUCCACGUGUAGCGGUGAAAUGCGUAGAGAUGUGGAGGAACACCAGUGGCGAAGGCGACUUUCUGGUCUGUAACUGACACUGAGGCGCGAAAGCGUGGGGAGCAAACAGGAUUAGAUACCCUGGUAGUCCACGCCGUAAACGAUGAGUGCUAAGUGUUAGAGGGUUUCCGCCCUUUAGUGCUGCAGCUAACGCAUUAAGCACUCCGCCUGGGGAGUACGG
rnacentral:rRNA from 1 species